GGGGUUGUGGCUCAGCGGUAGAUCGCUCGUCUUGUAUGUGUGAGACCCUGAGUUUGAUCCUCAGCACCACA
rnacentral:tRNA from 1 species